rnacentral:rRNA from 1 species
UACGUAGGGUCCAAGCGUUGUCCGGAUUUAUUGGGCGUAAAGAGCUCGUAGGCGGCUUAGUAAGUCGGAUGUGAAAACUCGGGGCUCAACCCCGAGACGCCAUCCGAUACUGCUGUGGCUUGAGUCUGGUAGGGGAACACGGAAUUCCUGGUGUAGCGGUGAAAUGCGCAGAUAUCAGGAGGAACACCAAUGGCGAAGGCAGCUCGCUGGAACGGUACUGACGCUGAGGCGCGAAAGCGUGGGGAGCAAACAGG